rnacentral:rRNA from 1 species
GAGCAACGCCGCGUGAGGGAUGAAGGCCUCUGGGCUGUAAACCUCUUUUCUCAAGGAAGAAGAUCUGACGGUACUUGAGGAAUAAGCCACGGCUAAUUCCGUGCCAGCAGCCGCGGUAAUACGGGAGUGGCAAGCGUUAUCCGGAAUUAUUGGGCGUAAAGCGUCCGCAGGCGGCCUCGAAAGUCUGUCGUUAAAGCGUGGAGCUUAACUCCAUUUAAGCGGUGGAAACUACGAGGCUAGAGUGUGGUAGGGGCAGAGGGAAUUCCCGGUGUAGCGGUGAAAUGCGUAGAUAUCGGGAAGAACACCAGUGGCGAAGGCGCUCUGCUGGGCCAUAACUGACGCUCAUGGACGAAAGCCAGGGGAGCGAAAGGGAUUAGAUACCCCUGUAGUCCUGGCCGUAAACGAUGAACACUAGGUGUCGGGGGAAUCGACCCCCUCGGUGUCGUAGCUAACGCGUUAAGUGUUCCGCCUGGGGAGUACGCACGCAAGUGUGAAACUCAAAGGAAUUGACGGGGGCCCGCACAAGCGGUGGAGUAUGUGGUUUAAUUCGAUGCAACGCGAAGAACCUUACCAGGGCUUGACAUCCUGCGAAUCCCUUGGAAACUUGGGAGUGCCUUCGGGAGCGCAGAGACAGGUGGUGCAUGGCUGUCGUCAGCUCGUGUCGUGAGAUGUUGGGUUAAGUCCCGCAACGAGCGCAACCCACGUCUUUAGUUGCCAGCAUUAAGUUGGGCACUCUAGAGAGACCGCCGGUGAUAAGCCGGAGGAAGGUGUGGAUGACGUCAAGUCAUCAUGCCCCUUACGUCCUGGGCUACACACGUACUACAAUGCUACGGACAAAGGGCAGCAAACUCGCGAGAGCUAGCAAAUCCCAUAAACCGUGGCUCAGUUCAGAUCGUAGGCUGCAACUCGCCUACGUGAAGGAGGAAUCGCUAGUAAUCGCAGGUCAGCAUACUGCGGUGAAUACGUUCCCGGGCCUUGUACACACCGCCCGUCACACCAUGGAAGUUGGCCACGCCCGAAGUCGUUACUCCAACCCGCAAGGGAGGAGGAUGCCGAAGGUGGGGCUGAUGACUGGGGUGAAGUCGUAACAAGGUAGCCGUACCGGAAGGUG